rnacentral:rRNA from 1 species
UACGGAGGGUGCGAGCGUUGUCCGGAAUCAUUGGGCGUAAAGGGCGCGUAGGUGGCCCGGUCAGUUCGUGGUGAAAGCGCGGGGCUCAACCCUGCGUCGGCCAUGAAUACUGCCGCGGCUGGAGCACUGUAGAGGCAGGCGGAAUCCGGGUGUAGCGGUGGAAUGCGUACGAGAUCCGGAAGAACACCGGUGGCGAAGGCGGCCGC